rnacentral:rRNA from 1 species
AUGGAGCCGACCUUGAAAUACCACCCUUUAAUGUUUGAUGUUCUAACGUUGACCCGUAAUCCGGGUUGCGGACAGUGUCUGGUGGGUAGUUUGACUGGGGCGGUCUCCUCCUAAAGAGUAACGGAGGAGCACGAAGGUUGGCUAAUCCUGGUCGGACAUCAGGAGGUUAGUGCAAUGGCAUAAGCCAGCUUGACUGCGAGCGUGACGGCGCGAGCAGGUGCGAAAGCAGGUCAUAGUGAUCCGGUGGUUCUGAAUGGAAGGGCCAUCGCUCAACGGAUAAAAGGUACUCCGGGGAUAACAGGCUGAUACCGCCCAAGAGUUCAUAUCGACGGCGGUGUUUGGCACCUCGAUGUCGGCUCAUCACAUCCUGGGGCUGAAGUAGGUCCCAAGGGUAUGGCUGUUCGCCAUUUAAAGUGGUACGCGAGCUGGGUUUAGAACGUCGUGAGACAGUUCGGUCCCUAUCUGCCGUGGGCGCUGGAGAACUGAGGGGGGCUGCUCCUAGUACGAGAGGACCGGAGUGGACGCAUCACUGGUGUUCGGGUUGUCAUGCCAAUGGCACUGCCCGGUAGCUAAAUGCGGAAGAGAUAAGUGCUGAAAGCAUCUAAGCACGAAACUUGCCCCGAGAUGAGUUCUCCCUGACUCCUUGAGAGUCCUGAAGGAACGUUGAAG